GGGUCGAUGCCCGUGUGGUUAAUGGGGACGGACUGUAAAUUCAUUGACAAUAUGUCUACGCUGGUUCAAAUCCAGCUCGGCCCA
rnacentral:tRNA from 1 species